CUGUCACUAAUCACCCCUCCCUCUGUCACUAGUCACCACCUUCCUCACUCUGUCACUAGUCACUCCCUCCCGAACUCUGUCACUGUGAAGGAAGGAAGGGGUAACUGGUGACAGAGUGAGGGGAUGACUGGUGACAGAGUGAGGGAAGGGAUGACUAGUGGCAGAGUGAGGGAAGGAAGGGAUGACUGGUGACAGAGUGAAG